GAUGAACGCUGGCAGCGUGCCUAAUACAUGCAAGUCGAGCGAACAGACGAGGAGCUUGCUCCUCUGACGUUAGCGGCGGACGGGUGAGUAACACGUGGAUAACCUACCUAUAAGACUGGGAUAACUUCGGGAAACCGGAGCUAAUACCGGAUAAUAUAUUGAACCGCAUGGUUCAAUAGUGAAAGACGGUUUUGCUGUCACUUAUAGAUGGAUCCGCGCCGCAUUAGCUAGUUGGUAAGGUAACGGCUUACCAAGGCAACGAUGCGUAGCCGACCUGAGAGGGUAAUCGGCCACACUGGAACUGAGACACGGUCCAGACUCCUACGGGAGGCAGCAGUAGGGAAUCUUCCGCAAAGGGCGAAAGCCUGACGGAGCAACGCCGCGUGAGUGAUGAAGGUCUUCGGAUCGUAAAACUCUGUUAUUAGGGAAGAACAAAUGUGUAAGUAACUAUGCACGUCUUGACGGUACCUAAUCAGAAAGCCACGGCUAACUACGUG
rnacentral:rRNA from 1 species